rnacentral:rRNA from 1 species
UCCUACGGGAGGCAGCAGUGAGGAAUAUUGGUCAAUGGGCUUACGCCUGAACCAGCCAAGUCGCGUGAGGGAAGACUGCCCUAUGGGUUGUAAACCUCUUUUGUCAGGGAGCAAUUGGCGCUACGUGUAGCGUUAUCGAGAGUACCUGAAGAAAAAGCAUCGGCUAACUCCGUGCCAGCAGCCGCGGUAAUACGGAGGAUGCGAGCGUUAUCCGGAUUUAUUGGGUUUAAAGGGUGCGUAGGCGGAAUGCCAAGUCAGCGGUAAUAUCGCGGGGCUCAACCUCUCUCCGCCGUUGAAAC